rnacentral:rRNA from 1 species
UACGGGGGGAGCAAGCGUUGUUCGGAUUUACUGGGCGUAAAGGGCGCGUAGGCGGCCAGCACAAGUCAGUUGUGAAAACUCGAGGCUCAACCUCGAGACGCCGAUGGAAACCAUCUGACUAGAGUCCGGAAGAGGAGAGUGGAAUUCCUGGUGUAGCGGUGAAAUGCGCAGAUAUCAGGAAGAACACCCGUGGCUAAGGCGGCUCUCUAGUACGGUACUGACGCUGAGACGCGAAAGCGUGGGGAGCGAACAGG